AGGGCACCACCAGGAGUGGAGCCUGCGGCUUAAUUUGACUCAACACGGGGAAACUCACCAGGUCCAGACAAUAUAAGGAUUGACAGAUUGAUAGCUCUUUCUUGAUUUAUUGGGUGGUGGUGCAUGGCCGUUCUUAGUUGGUGGAGUGAUUUGUCUGGUUAAUUCCGAUAACGAACGAGACCUUAACCUGCUAAAUAGCCCGGCUGGCUUUGGCUGGUCGCUGGCUUCUUAGAGGGACUAUCUGUGUUUAGCAGAUGGAAGUUUGAGGCA
rnacentral:rRNA from 1 species